CCUGCUCCGCAUCCCGCCCAGCGGCGCAGGGGGCCGGGCUCCGGCGAGAGGGGUGGGGCCACGCGGGUGACAGCCGCUCCCCUCCCCUCCCCUGCUGCCCGCCACGUCCCUCACGUACCACUCGGCGGAGGCGCGGAGAAACGUGGCGUCCGGGCUCUGGUUUCUCUAGCGCGGCUCGGCAUGAGGCUGGCGCGGCUGCUUCGUGGAGCCGCCUUGGCAGUCCCGGGCCCGGGGCUGCGCGCCGCCGGCCCCAGCUGCACCUUCAGCUCGGACUCGGGCUUUGGCCCGGCGUCCGAGCGCGGCGUUCCGGGCCAGGUGGACUUCUACGCGCGCUUCUCACCGUCCCCGCUCUCCAUGAAGCAGUUCCUGGACUUCGGAUCAGUGAAUGCUUGUGAAAAGACCUCAUUUAUGUUUCUGCGGCAAGAGUUGCCUGUCAGACUGGCAAAUAUAAUGAAAGAAAUAAGUCUCCUUCCAGAUAAUCUUCUCAGAACACCAUCCGUUCAAUUGGUACAAAGCUGGUAUAUCCAGAGUCUUCAGGAGCUUCUAGAUUUUAAGGACAAAAGUGCUGAGGAUGCUAAAGCUAUUUAUGACUUUACAGAUACUGUGAUACGGAUCAGAAACCGACACAAUGAUGUCAUUCCCACAAUGGCCCAGGGUGUGAUUGAAUACAAGGAGAGCUUUGGGGUGGAUCCUGUGACCAGCCAGAAUGUUCAGUACUUUUUGGAUCGAUUCUACAUGAGUCGCAUUUCAAUUAGAAUGUUACUCAAUCAGCACUCUUUAUUGUUUGGGGGAAAAGGCAAAGGAAGUCCGUCUCAUCGAAAACACAUUGGAAGCAUAAAUCCAAACUGCAAUGUAGUUGAAGUUAUUAAAGAUGGCUAUGAAAAUGCUAGGCGUCUGUGUGAUUUGUAUUAUAUUAACUCUCCCGAACUAGAACUUGGAGAACUAAAUGCAAAAUCACCAGGACAGCCAAUACAAGUGGUUUAUGUACCAUCCCAUCUCUAUCACAUGGUGUUUGAACUUUUCAAGAAUGCAAUGAGAGCCACUAUGGAACACCAUGCCAGCAGAGGUGUUUACCCCUCUAUUCAAGUUCAUGUCACGCUGGGUAAUGAGGAUUUGACUGUGAAGAUGAGUGACCGAGGAGGUGGUGUUCCUUUGAGGAAAAUUGACAGACUCUUCAACUACAUGUAUUCAACUGCACCGAGACCUCGUGUUGAGACUUCCCGCGCAGUGCCCCUGGCUGGUUUUGGUUAUGGAUUGCCCAUAUCACGUCUUUACGCACAAUACUUCCAAGGAGACCUGAAGCUGUAUUCCCUAGAGGGUUACGGGACAGAUGCAGUUAUCUACAUUAAGGCUUUGUCAACAGACUCAAUAGAAAGACUCCCAGUGUAUAACAAAGCUGCCUGGAAGCAUUACAACACCAACCACGAGGCUGAUGACUGGUGCAUCCCCAGCAGAGAACCCAAAGACAUGACGACAUUCCGCAGUGCCUAGACACACUUGGGACAUCCAGAAAAUCCAAAUAUGGCUUUUGUAUUAAAUUUGGAAGGAAGAGGAAGACAGAGCUCUUACCAGGGGGAGGCAGAGAUGGCACAGCAAGAGACAUGCCCCAGAAUGUCAUCAAUGCCCCAGGACAGGCCCACCCAUGGCAUCAGCUAAACUGGACAUUCAUUCUUGAGGGGAAAUCUGAGCAGUACACCUCCAUGACUUCAGAAGAAAUGCUGGAGAAGACAAAUAGUAGUAAAAUCCUUAUCCUUAUUUGACCUUUUUUGCUGCUAAUUCUUUUUUUUAAGAGGCGGAGUCUCACUGUCACCCAGGCUGGAGUGCAGUGGCACAAUGAUGGCUCACUGCAGCCUCAAACACCAGAGCUCAAACAAUCCUUCCACCUCGGCAUCCUAAGUAUCUGAGCUUACGGGUUUACCACCGUGCCCACCUUGGACUUUUUUCCUUAUUCCCUAUCAGAUAGUCUCCUAUCUGGACUAGCUGAAGGGUGGUUUUAAAAGUCAUAUUUCUGUGGAAUACCUACCCACUUAAAAAUGUGUAAUAAUGAUGCCAAUGGCUGCUGCCAUCAUGCUGGCUGCAGCAGGGAAGUGUGGCUGGGGCUGCGUCCGCCAUGGAGCCAGGGGAAUCCCUCCUCCUCCUGAGUUGGGACAGGAAUUCCCGGUGCUGCUGUGGCCGCCCAAACCGCAGCUGUAGACCCAGGCCUGCUGCUCUACGGAGCAGGCAGGAGCCCUGCCCUCCUGGGCUUCCCAAACUACAGCCGUGGAUCCAAGCCUCCCUGUGUUCUUGAGGGAGCCGGAAACAGGCAGGAUCUGCCCUCCUGGGUGGAGCUGCAGCUGCCGCACCCACAGCUUCAGACCUGGGUCUCCUGCUCCAGGCAGCAGGCAGGAGCUGUGGAUAAGUAAGAGCCCUGCCCCUUCCAAGUUGAUGGGGUGGGAGCUCCCGGGUACAGCUGUGACCACCCUCCCAAGUGUAGAACCCAGGAAUCUCUGCAGCCAGCACCCUCAGGGAUCCCAGGAAGGCCCCCCCACCCCCACCAACCCCUAGCCCUGAAUGGAAGGGGUAGGUCCCCAGUAAGUCCCCACCUUCUGGCCAGGGAGGGCCUGAAGACUGGGGGCCAGGCUGCCAGUGGCUGCCAGUCCCUCUGACAGGAGUGGGGACUCAUGCUCCUCUGUGCUGCUCGUGGCCACCUAUGGACCAAUCAGCACCUACUUCCUCCCCUCUGAGGUCCAUAAAAGCCCUGGGCUCAGCCAGAGCAGGGCAGAGGAUGACGGGAUGACCAGCUGCAGACAGGAAGUACUCUACUCGUAGCUGGAGAUGAUGGGCGACCAGCUGCAGAGGGAAACUGCUGGCAGAGAGGAGCUACCCUCUGCUGAGAGCUUCAGAGACCUGCAGACAUCCGAAUGACUUGCUUGCAGAGAGGAGCCACCCUUUCCAGGGCCACCUCUCGGCUGAGAGCUGAACACCCAGUGGAAUAAUCUGCCUAUAGAGAGGAGCCACCCACUUCUCUGAGCUAUUCUAACACAAUAAAACUCUUCUUCACCCUUCA